CGCUACUCCCCUUUCUGCCCAACUCUGACCUUGAGGGAGACAAUAAAAGAGGGUCAGAGCGCGCGCCUGGGGCAAGCCGAGCCACCGUGAGCCUUCCACAGGCUGUUCAUGGCUACUUUCCGAAGUGUUAUAUAUGCUCUCUGACCUGGAUGUGUGUCCUGUGAAAUGUGUACAGGUGUGUGAGGACGAGUCUCGCGGCCCGGAAUGUUUAGUGCGUCCGGCUAUAUGGAGCUGAGUGAGUCCGGCGAGGCCGCGCCGCUCCUGCGCACGAGCAGCGUGGAGCUGUGGACACGCAGGGGUCUGGACGGAAAGAUGCAAGUCAGGAUCACUGAACAGUUGGAAGCCUCAAUGUGGAGAAUCAAAACAAAGCAGAUGGUGAGAAGAUGGAAGAACCUCUACCCGGCUGUUGUGUGUGACGGAGAACCCUAACACAUGGAUACCAGUCCACACUGCUGCUGUCACCUCUGAUUAUUAGAGCCAUCUCAGACGCUUGACCUUAUAUCUGCUUCACUGCUGACAAUGCACACCAUGACAUGCUCCAGUUUCCUCUGUGGACCAUCGUGACACAGAUGGAUUCGAGCUGUCUGAGGCA